ACUGAAGGGAAGUUGAGCCACCAUGUUAAAGGAAGGGAAAAUGCAGUUGCAGGUGAAUUCUGGGAGUAGAAGAGAGAAUAAAAGUGAAUAAAAGAACAGCUGCAAACCUCCACGAACUCAGUGGACCUUGGGAGAAGAAUGAGAAGAGUAACAGGCACUGCAACAUUGGAAAGAGUGCUGCACUUGGCAUUUGACAUCCCGGCUCUGCUUCUCAUGAAUUGGGUCCCUUUGCAAGCAGCUUCAUCUCUGUGAGUUUCAGGUUCCUCAUUUGUAAAUUGUAGAUAAAUCACUACCU
rnacentral:lncRNA from 1 species